AAAAAAGUCAAUGCAGAGGAUACAGAGUUAUGAGUAAGACAUUUCCAAUUAAGCAAUAAAUCUUUGCCACCAUCAUUUGGGAGGGAAUUGCAAAUUUUUAUUCUGGAAGCGUAUUUGGCACCAGCAAGCUUUUGAAUGGCUGGAGUUAAAUGGAGACUUAAAAAGAAAAAUUGUCUCAUUAAAUGGCCAAAACCAACAGGGCUAUGCAGUUUAUGUAUUCAGACAUUUAUGGUGCAAUGCUCAUACAGGCAGCUGAUGUCAGUUCUGGGAACUGGUAUUAAGAGCAGUGGAAUGAAACAAAGUUGAUGAAUUACACAGAAAGAGCAGUCCAUUUUCAGAUUUCUCUCAAAAAGCAGCAAGAGUGAAACAAAACCACAAAAAUAAAUGAAAACUUCAGCCUAGAAAUUGACAUUUGAAAUAUCAAAAUUAUAGAUGGAAGAGAUUAAAAUUGCUCAGGCUCUGAUAUUUCUCAUUCAUUUCUUUUGGAUAAUGAAAAUCACUGUUAUUUUUAAAGUUCUCUCUUUUUCUUAUUAACUGUCUUGGAAGAAGUUUGUACUAGGGUGACCAAGUCCUGAAGUGAAAUUUCUC
rnacentral:lncRNA from 1 species